UACGUAGGUGGCAAGCGUUGUCCGGAAUUAUUGGGCGUAAAGCGCGCGCAGGCGGCUUCUUAAGUCUGAUGUGAAAUCUCGGGGCUCAACCCCGAGCGGCCAUUGGAAACUGGGAAGCUUGAGUACAGAAGAGGAGAGUGGAAUUCCACGUGUAGCGGUGAAAUGCGUAGAUAUGUUGGAGGAACACCAGUGGCGAAGGCGACUCUCUGGUCUGUAACUGACGCUGAGGCGCGAAAGCGUGGGGAGCAAACAGG
rnacentral:rRNA from 1 species